rnacentral:lncRNA from 1 species
GGGCUGCUGGCGCCGGACGAGGAGGAGCCGGGGCCGCCGCUCGCUCGGCUGGUCGAGCCCGCUCAGCGCCGCCGCCGCCUGUGCCGCGGGCUCGGGGGGUCUCUCUGGGCUGGUCCCCGCCGCGGCGCCUCUGCCGCUGCCGCCGCGCUCCGACUGCGCUCCUCCUCUUCCUCCUCCUCCUUCUCCUCCUCCUCCUCCUCAC